AUACUCUGGUUUCUCUUCAGAUCGUAUAAAUCUUUCGCCUUUUACUAAAGAUUUCCGUGGAGAGGAACAGUUAUGAGUUUGUAGUUAAUUUUUUGAGGUCCUGCUUCGGUAGGACU
rnacentral:snRNA from 1 species